rnacentral:rRNA from 1 species
ACGAACGCUGGCGGCAGGCUUAACACAUGCAAGUCGAGCGCCCUCUUCGGGGGGAGCGGCGAACGGGUGAGUAACGCGUGGGAACGUGCCCUUUCCUCCGGAAUAGCCUCGGGAAACUGAGAUUAAUGCCGGAUACGCCCUUUUGGGGAAAGAUUUAUCGGGGAAGGAUCGGCCCGCGUUGGAUUAGGUAGUUGGUGGGGUAACGGCCUACCAAGCCGACGAUCCAUAGCUGGUUUGAGAGGAUGAUCAGCCACACUGGGACUGAGACACGGCCCAGACUCCUACGGGAGGCAGCAGUGGGGAAUCUUGGACAAUGGGGGCAACCCUGAUCCAGCCAUGCCGCGUGAUCGAUGAAGGCCUUAGGGUUGUAAAGAUCUUUCAGCGAGGAAGAUAAUGACGGUACUCGCAGAAGAAGCCCCGGCUAACUCCGU